CUUGGGUCAGAAUGGUAGGGAUAAAAACAAUGGGGCAAAAUGUCCUACUUUGGAUCAGCAAAGGCCAAAUGGAAGACAUUACAUUUCAGUUGGGCAUUGAAGGAUAAUUAAGCUUUGCUGCCAGAGGGAAGGAAUACAGAUGGUCUUCGGGCAGCUGCUCUGCCCCAUCGUUUUCACUCCACCAUUGGAACAGGUGGAAGAUUCUGCAUAAAAACAUCUCUCAAAUAAUGAAGGCUUUGGUUCUACUGGAUUGCUUUGAAACAGCAGCCCUUAAAAACAUGAUUAAAAGUUUCCAUUGAAGUUUA